rnacentral:rRNA from 1 species
UACAGAGGUCCCGAGCGUUGUUCGGAUUCACUGGGCGUAAAGGGUGCGUAGGUGGCAUGGCAAGUUUGAUGUGAAAGCUCAGGGCUUAACCCUGAAAUGGCAUUGAAUACUGCUGUGCUGGAGGUUUGGAGGGGGGACUGGAAUUCUCGGUGUAGCAGUGAAAUGCGUAGAUAUCGAGAGGAACACCAGUGGCGAAGGCGAGUCCCUGGACAACACCUGACACUGAGGCACGAAAGCGUGGGGAGCAAACAGG